GGCCAUACUGGGCCCAACGGACUAAGGGGCCUGGGGCUGCGGCCUAUCGUGGCCUGGUGGGCAGAGCUGGCAGCAUGGACACCCUCUUCGUGGAGGAGGUGGCCGCCUCCCUGGUCAGGGAGUUCCUCAACAGAAAGGGGGAUUGUCUAAGUUCCCUCCUGUUUUGUCCCAGGAGAGUUUGCAAAGUGUUUACAAGUUGAGAAGGUCUUUAACGCUAAUCCACCCUGACAGUGGAGAUGGAGACUUGGGGCUUAAAGAAGACGUGUGUGAUCAUGGACCAGGAACGCCCACGCUCUGAUCUCAGCAUAAACAGCAGAAAUGAUCUCCGCAAGGUUUUGCAUCUCGAAUUUCUCUACAGGGAGAACAAGGCAAAAGAAAAUCCUCUAAAAACAAACCUUGAACUCAUGACCAGAUAUUUUCUGGAUCACUCUGGAAAAACAGAUAACAAUUUAACUCAAGAAACCCCGAUCCCUGCACUCUCAGUUCCAAAGAAAAUUAACAAAUUGCCGUUGAGAUGCUCAGAGACCAAGCUGGUAAAUAUAUAUGACCUUUCAGAUGAAGACGCAGGAUGGAGAACAUCAUUGACAGAAACAGGCAAAGCCAGACAUGACAAUCUUGACGGGGAUGUCCUUGGUCAUCUUGUAUCAUCCAAAAGGCCCCACCACAAAAGCAAGCCCGUGCACUUGGUUGCAGGUGAAGGCCCCGCUUUGGUGUCUGCGUGGGAGAGGAUGGACAAGCUUCACUCUUCAGAGUCUUCCGUGGACAUGAAGAGGACAGGAGAGAAGACGAGGCCAAAGUCGGGUCUGAUCGUCAGAGGCAUGAUGGCUGGGCCUGUGGCCAGUUCCGCACAGGAUCCUUUACGAAAGCGCUCUCUGAGGAGGUCCCCAGCCCCCAGCAGCAAGACCCACGCCCAGGAGGAGGAGAGUGAGAAGGUGCCUGAGCUCUCCACCCAUACCCCAGCCUGUGCAGCCUCACAGAACAACUCAGCCUCCAGCAGAGGCUCAGUCUCCAGGAGCCCCCGGGGCCCGCCCAGUGAGCCAUCUAUGGAAAACUGCAAGGCCACUCCCAGCAGCCCUCCCCAGACUCCCCGCGCGGGACUGUCCCACUGGGACAAGACCAGACCAAGAGGUCUUUCAGAGGACAGCCCAGCAGAGAACGGUCCCAUCGAGGAGGAGAAAUCGCCCAUGAAGUUGUACCUGCCUGGUGGGUUUUCCAGGGUGACCCAGGAGAGGCUGGAAAGAGCAUUCAAGCGGCAGAGCAGCCAGCCCCCGCUUCUCAGGAAAUAUCAACCACUGGCGUCUGACAAGGUGGAUGAUGACCUGGGUGCCCUGCAGCUUGAGGAUGUGGAUGAUACAUUGAUAAAGGAAGAAGUCAUCCUGUCCCCAGCCCCAUCAGUACUCAAGCUGCAAGUAGCAUCAAAGCCAAUUGACCUCUCUGUAGCAAAGGAAAUAAAGACCCUUCUGUUUGGUUCUUGCUUUUGCUGCUUCAAUGAAGAAUGGAAACUUCAGAGUUUUUCCUUCAGUGAGACGGCUUCCUUAAAAUAUGGCAUUGUGCAGAACAAGGGCGGCCCCUGUGGGGUUCUGGCGGCCGUCCAGGGCUGCGUGCUGCAGAAACUCCUGUUUGAAGGCGAGAGCGGAGCCCGCUGCGCGCGGCAGCUGCAGCCUUCAGACACCCACAGGACCCGCUGCCUCACCCUGGCCAUUGCAGACAUCCUGUGGCGGGCUGGGGGCCGACAGAGAGCUGUGGUCGCGCUGUCUUCGGGAAGCGAGCAGUUCAGCCCAACAGGGAAAUACAAAGCCGACGGAGUCUUAGAAACACUCACACUGCACAGUCUGACCUGCUACGAGGAGCUGGUGACUUUCCUUCAGUACAGCAUUCAUCAGUUCCAAGCAGGCCCCUAUGGAUGCAUCCUGCUCACCCUGUCUGCCAUCCUGUCCAGGUCCCUGGAGCUGGUUCGCCAGGACUUUGAUGUUCCCACCACCCACCUGAUUGGAGCACAUGGAUACUGCACACAGGAACUUGUCAAUCUGCUCCUGACUGGGAGAGCCGUGUCCAAUGUUUUCAACGACGUGGUGGAGCUGGAUUCUGGGAACGGGAACAUCACCCUCCUCCGGGGCAUUACAGCACGUAGCGAUAUUGGCUUCUUGUCCCUCUUUGAGCACUACAACGUGUGCCAGGUUGGCUGCUUCCUGAAGACCCCACGGUUCCCCAUCUGGGUAGUGUGCAGCGAGAGCCACUUCAGCGUCCUCUUCAGCCUGCAGAUGGAGCUCCUGUCUGACUGGAAGGCCGAGCGGCACUUUGACCUGUACUAUUAUGACGGCCUGGCCAACCAGCAGGAGCAGAUCCGGCUGACCAUCGGUGCGACACCCCCCAACCUGUACCCUAAAGGAGCUUCAAGACCCCUCACAGACACCAGACUUCACAUCCCCCCUCAGGAUGCUCGAGGACAGUGUAGACUUGGGUGCCAGGACUGGGUGAUCAGAGAACAGAUCUUAGCAGGGCCCCUCCAGCUGGAGGGAUCCAGGGAUGACCUUGACCCUUGAUAGCAUCAAGCAUGUAAGGUGAAGUGGAGGCCACAUGGGAAGAGCCCCAAACACUUUGCUGACAAGUCUGGAUUUAUUCUUCAGGCAAGAGGGAGCCAUAGGAGGUUUUGUUUGUUUGUUUUUUUUUUGUUUUGUUUUGUUUUUAAGGGAGAGAGAGAAUAUGAAUCUUUCUUUGUAGAUGGCUACAACACAAUGCCUUUAUUUUUAUGUGGUGCUGAGAAUCGAACCUGGGUCCUGCCCGUCCUAGGCGAGCGCUCUACCGCUGAGCCACAAUUCCAGCCCCCAUAGGAGGUUUUAGAGCAGGGCAUGAUUGGAUCAGAUGUAUUUUUAUUAAGAAGAUUUUGGUAGCUGAAGUAAGGCACAAAACUGGGAUAGAGACUGGACAAUGAGAGGCCUGUGAGUUGUCCAGGUAAGAAUUUAGGGCCAGCCAUGAAGGUGGAUCCAGUUGGAAUGGAGAUGAAGGCAUAGGUACUCAGAGGGUCAGGUCCCAAGAAAGUUGUCAACGCUGACCACAGGUUAAAUGCAGAGCCCUGGAGUGACAUGACUAUGCCUCUCUUUCUCCCUCCUCCCCAGAUACCACCCAGACCAGCCCCGAGGACAGCCACAAUGACUUUGUCCCUCCCCUGGAGCUCUGCAUCAGAACCAAGUGGAAGGGGGCAUCCGUGGACUGGAACGGCUCAGAGCCCAUCCUGUGACCCUUGGAUGCAUCUAAAUCCUGUGGCUCCACUGCUCAUCACUGGGGUGACUCCUGAGACCUACCUGGGCCUCAGCGGCAAGUCUCUGAGAAGAGCGUCACCCCCACCCAGGCCAGCAUGGCUAUGGAAGCCUACAGGGCCUCUUGCCCCUUCUGUGAAGGGCUGCCCAGGACUGUGAGACAGGACAGUGUGCUGCUGAGUUACCUCCCAGCUGACUGUGACUGCCAAGGACAGGAAGGAGGCCACCAGUGGCUCCGCUGCCUUUUCACUCCUCUCUGGUUUCCCACUGGGUCACCCCUUGCCAAGGCCUCUGAUGAGGGUGGCUCUGGGGACCCUGGUUAUUUCUGGUAAUUGGUUUUCUAUAAAGCAAGUAUCCAGCCCA